GAUGAAGAACGCAGCGAAAUGCGAUAAGUAAUGUGAAUUGCAGAAUUCAGUGAAUCAUCGAAUCUUUGAACGCACAUUGCGCCCGCCAGUAUUCUGGCGGGCAUGCCUGUUCGAGCGUCAUUACAACCCUCAGGCCCCCGGGCCUGGCGUUGGGGAUCGGCGGAGCCCCCCGUGGGCACACGCCGUCCCCCAAAUGCAGUGGCGGUCCCGCCGCAGCUUCCAUCGCGUAGUAGCUAACACCUCGCGACUGGAGAGCGGCGCGGCCACGCCGUAAAACACCCAACUCUUCUGAAGUUGACCUCGAAUCAGGUAGGAAUACCCGCUGAACUAAAGCAUAUCAAUAAGCGGAGGA
rnacentral:misc_RNA from 1 species